rnacentral:miRNA from 1 species
UUCCAGCUGCAUACAAAUUUCA